UGUCGGCAGUCCCAGGUGACAAGCACCUGUAAACAAGAAGCCCAGCUGGCUCAGAGGACAACAAGGAAGCACUGUGAUUGGCUGCCUGGACAGUCUUUAACCUAAAUGUCCUGGUUCACGAUGUGCUCUGCAACAACAUUUUCAGAAGCUGAUCAACAACAUCGGACAUCCUCCAACAUAUCCAACAGGUACUAUAAAUGAAUUCUUCAUUUUCUGUUGGACUCACCUGAAGUGUUUCUUUCAUAAGUAAAGACCAACCAAGAAAUAAAUAUUUAUUUAUAAAAAAAACAAAAACAAUAAAAAUUGAAACACAUUUUAGGUCCAAAUUCCAACGUUUCAAACUCAAAUAAUUUUAUUGUUGUAUUUUCUUACAAGGCACCACAGGUAGAACAAACAUAAAACAUUGAUUUGUUUACAAAAAGACAAAGUAAAACAGAAAAGACAAACACAGUGAGGACAGUGAUGCACCUGUCAUGGCAGCUGAACCACAGCAGGUGCUUUUCUCUUCUUUCUCUGUACACACCGAGAAGCCCAGCUGAAGUGGAAAACUGAACAGUAGGGGGCACUGCUGAGCUUUAAAGCAGGGAUGAUCAGAGGAUAAAAGUUACAGAGGAGAAUAAGGAGAUGCAAUCAGAACCUGUUUCUGGCUUGAUAUCCAAUUUGAAAAAAGAAAAAAUAUAUUUUCAGAUUGGCUUUCAACAAGAAAAGAUACAUACAUUUAUAUUUUCAGUACCGUCAGAAGCAGAAGCACAAAAAAAAAACAAAAAAAAAAAACAUGCACAGACAUACUGAACUCUGAGCAACCAGUAAGUUUAUUUACAGAAGACGGAGAGGAAGCCAAA